CAAUAGCGUAUAUUAAAGUUGUUGCAGUUAAAAAGCUCGUAGUUGGACUUCUGAUGUGGGACUGCGCCCCGGUAUUUUGCCGUUGGGUGCGGGCUCGCGUCUUCCUCUCGUAGUUGGAUGGUGCACUUAACUGGGUGCCUUUUGAAUAUGGGACCUUUACUUUGAAAAAUUAGAGUGUUCAAAGCAGGCAAUCGCUUGAAUACAUUAGCAUGGAAUAAUAAUUUAGGACUCUGUUUCUAUUUUGUUGGUUUCCGGAAACGGAGUAAUGAUUGAUAGGGAUUGUUGGGGGUGCUAGUAUUCAGCGGCCAGAGGUGAAAUUCUCGGAUUCGCUGAAGACUAACUUAUGCGAAAGCAUUCACCAAGGAAGUCUUCUUUAAUCAAGAACGAAAGUUGGGGGAUCGAAGACGAUUAGAUACCGU
rnacentral:rRNA from 1 species